rnacentral:rRNA from 1 species
AUUGAACGCUGGCGGCAGGCCUAACACAUGCAAGUCGAACGAGUGGCGGACGGGUGAGUAAUGUCUGGGAAACUGCCCGAUGGAGGGGGAUAACUACUGGAAACGGUAGCUAAUACCGCAUACCCUCGGAUGUGCCAAUAUGGGAUUAGCUAGUAGGUGGGGUAAGGGCUCACCUAGGCGACGAUCCCUCCCUGGUCUGAGAGGAUGACCAGCCACAUUGGACCGGAGACACGGUCCAGACUCCUAAGUGAGGCAGAAGUGGGGAUUAUUGCACAAUGGGCACAAGCCUGAUGCAGCCAUGCCGCGUGUAUGAAGAAGGCCUGCGGGUUGUAAAGUACUUUCAGCGAGGAGGCGUUACUCGCAGAAGAAGCACCGGCUAACUCCGUGCCAGCAGCCGCGGUAAUUC